rnacentral:rRNA from 1 species
AUGGCGGACGCGGAAGAGGCGUGCGGUGAGUCCACGACGUGUGGUGUGGUCGGGCUCGUCGGGCGCGUCGGGUGCGCGCGGGACGUGCGGGACGCACUGAUGCGAUCGGGCUCGUCGGGCGCGUCGGGUGCACACGGGAUGUGCGGGGCGCAGAGGCACGCCAGGCGUGUGUCGCCGGCGGAGAAGGAGUUCGGCGUGUGUCGCCGGAGUCAUGACGGAGCACGGUGCGACCGGCGUCAGUGCGGCAGGUCGGGUCCGUGGCGGUGCGACCGGCGUCGUUGCGCCAGGUCGGGUCCGUGGGCUGGGUCACACUCGUGA